GCUCCGCCCAGGGACGUGUUUUGGGAGCGAACGAUUCGAUAUCGCGACGUGCGCAACUAUCAGAUAAUAUUUUGCGAUUCCAUCAGAUAUUUCCACCUCUCACUCUCUCUAUUUCCUCACCAAAGUCGUUGAUAAUAUUUCGAUGCGUUUCCAGUUUUGACAUCAAUCACCAGUCACUCGGAAUGCAAUGGCCCAAGGCAUCGUGGUAUAUAUCUUAAAAGCUUGGAUACAUCACCAAAGUAUGUCUUAUGACGCCGUGACUGCCGCCGACACCCUAUCGAGGCCGAAACGUCAGCAGAAAUCGGCCGAUCUUUUGAUGUCCGUAGGAAGAUGACGCCCCGCUGAUUUUGUCGACUGAACUUUGUGACGCAUUUAGACUAAAUCUCGCUGUAUCUAUCCGCGCCACUCACACAGCCGUGUGUGAGCGAGAAUACAGACGACUCGGCAGCCAGUCGUAGGCCGUCCGGAGAAAGCAGACGACAUUAGAAAAAGUAGAAGGAAACAACAAGAAAAAAAAGAGGAAAAAAAGAAGAAUCCCCGUGAAGUCAAGAUAGCUAGCCCAUCAUCCCGACCAUAACGGUCACCAUGGAAACGAGGACAACACGUUCGUUCAGUCGACUAUUAAUUCAAUCAUAGAGAGCUUUGUUAUAAACAACCUGUCUGGCAUUACCUAAAGACUUAUUUCUCAAUUCUUUUCUUAUCUCUUGGUUUUAAAAUACAAAAUAUUCGUUGACUAGGAGUUAUUAAUUUUGAAGAAAAAAAAAACCUCCAACAAUUCUUCAAAUUGCUACUUGUACGUUGCGAUAUUAAGUAAUUCCAGGAUGGUUCCAGCCAGCCAGUUCCACUCUCUCCAGGAAUCUCGGGAUCAAUAAUAAUUACCAGAGCACUCCUUGACACAGCUUUCGGGAUACAAUGAUUUUUUUCCUUCCUUCUUUAAUCGGUAAGUUGUUUAACUAAACCAGUUCUCUGCACAGUACCGUCAUUGGGUGAGAACGACGGCGUUCGUAAACCAGUCUACGGAACAAACAAGUCGGAGAGUUUACGUACUGUUUGUUUUUCCAGCUGGUAAGUGGUGAAGACAAUGCAUAGGUAUACUGAAAAAAGGUGUUAGAUUAUUUUACUCUUUGGAAUAAAAAAAAGUCGAUAAGUGUUGAAGAAAAUGUAUUGGCGUGUUAUUAAGAGGGAUAUUAUUUUAUAUUUUAUGAUGACAAUGGAAAUAUAAUUACUAUUAUUAUUAGAAAAAUAACGAGGUUUUUUUUAAAGUAAUGUUAAUUCUUUCAAUAAUAUAACGACACGUAUAUCGUCAAUUUAUAUUUUCAAAAUGUGAACAUUAGAGUACCUUAAUUGAAUUAUUAUCAAAAAAUAUUAUUUUUACUUUCGUUUAAACUAUAUAUUAAUUUAAAAUUAACGUUUUAUAUUGCAUUCUCGUAUUAAACUUAUUUUAUUAUUAUUAUUAUUAUUAUUAUUAUUAUAUUUGAAUAGAUAUAUGUAUUUAUUUGAUUUUAUAAACUAACUUAUUGAACCAUUGAACUAUUUUUGAACCAUAAUUAAGCCCGAAAAUGGCGGCAACCAGUGCGUAGGAAAUAGUUUUACCCAUAAUAUAUUGCUGCCACAGAUCACACUUUCAACGGCACCGUUAUCGCUGGCCCCGUUUUUGUCUUUGGUUAUCUAGCUGUAUGAUUGUUUAUGAAAUAUCAUAAAGCUAGGUUACCAAAGGCAAAAAUGGUAGCUAUGUUCAACUUAAUGGCGGGCGGUGAAAGAUCAUGUCAGCUUCCGGUCACGUGAAUAUACCCUUCAGAGUUCCAAAACAGGUAUUAUAUUUUAUUUUUAUCAUGCUCGUAAAACUAGAUUAUUAUUAUUAUUAUUAUUUACAUAAUUUGAAUUAAUGAAUAAAAAUAUUCAACUUU